AGGGAAUAUUGGACAAUGGGCGCAAGCCUGAUCCAGCCAUGCCGCGUGAGUGAAGAAGGCCCUCGGGUUGUAAAGCUCUUUUGUCCGGAAAGAAAAGCAUCGGGUUAAUACCCCGGUGUUCUGACGGUACCGGAAGAAUAAGCACCGGCUAACUUCGUGCCAGCAGCCGCGGUAAUACGAAGGGUGCAAGCGUUACUCGGAAUUACUGGGCGUAAAGCGUGCGUAGGUGGUUGUUUAAGUCUGAUGUGAAAGCCCUGGGCUCAACCUGGGAAUUGCAUUGGAAACUGGGCAGCUAGAGUGCGGUAGAGGGUAGUGGAAUUCCCGGUGUAGCAGUGAAAUGCGUAGAGAUCGGGAGGAACAUCUGUGGCGAAGGCGACUGCCUGGACCAGCACUGACACUGAGGCACGAAAGCGUGGGGAGCAAACA
rnacentral:rRNA from 1 species